rnacentral:rRNA from 1 species
GGGCGUUAAGUUGCAGGGUAUAGACCCGAAACCCGGUGAUCUAGCCAUGGGCAGGUUGAAGGUUGGGUAACACUAACUGGAGGACCGAACCGACUAAUGUUGAAAAAUUAGCGGAUGACCUGUGGCUGGGGGUGAAAGGCCAAUCAAACCGGGAGAUAGCUGGUUCUCCCCGAAAGCUAUUUAGGUAGCGCCUCGUGAAUUCAUCUCCGGGGGUAGAGCACUGUUUCGGCUAGGGGGCCAUCCCGGCUUACCAACCCGAUGCAAACUGCGAAUACCGGAGAAUGUUAUCACGGGAGACACACGGCGGGUGCUAACGUCCGUCGUGAAGAGGGAAACAACCCAGACCGCCAGCUAAGGUCCCAAAGUCAUGGUUAAGUGGGAAACGAUGUGGGAAGGCCCAGACAGCCAGGAUGUUGGCUUAGAAGCAGCCAUCAUUUAAAGAAAGCGUAAUAGCUCACUGGUCGAGUCGGCCUGCGCGGAAGAUGUAACGGGGCUAAACCAUGCACCGAAGCUGCGGCAGCGACGCUUAUGCGUUGUUGGGUAGGGGAGCGUUCUGUAAGCCUGUGAAGGUGGCCUGUGAGGGUUGCUGGAGGUAUCAGAAGUGCGAAUGCUGACAUAAGUAACGAUAAAGCGGGUGAAAAGCCCGCUCGCCGGAAGACCAAGGGUUCCUGUCCAACGUUAAUCGGGGCAGGGUGAGUCGACCCCUAAGGCGAGGCCGAAAGGCGUAGUCGAUGGGAAACGGGUUAAUAUUCCCGUACUUGGUGUUACUGCGAAGGGGGGACGGAGAAGGCUAUGUUGGCCGGGCGACGGUUGUCCCGGUUUAAGCGUGUAGGUGUGUGUUCCAGGUAAAUCCGGUUCACUUUAACACUGAGGCGUGACGACGAGGCACUACGGUGCUGAAGCAACAAAUGCCCUGCUUCCAGGAAAAGCCUCUAAGCAUCAGGUAACAUCAAAUCGUACCCCAAACCGACACAGGUGGUCAGGUAGAGAAUACCAAGGCGCUUGAGAGAACUCGGGUGAAGGAACUAGGCAAAAUGGUGCCGUAACUUCGGGAGAAGGCACGCUGACACGUAGGUGAAGUGAUUUACUCAUGGAGCUGAAGUCAGUCGAAGAUACCAGCUGGCUGCAACUGUUUAUUAAAAACACAGCACUGUGCAAACACGAAAGUGGACGUAUACGGUGUGACGCCUGCCCGGUGCCGGAAGGUUAAUUGAUGGGGUCAGCGCAAGCGAAGCUCCUGAUCGAAGCCCCGGUAAACGGCGGCCGUAACUAUAACGGUCCUAAGGUAGCGAAAUUCCUUGUCGGGUAAGUUCCGACCUGCACGAAUGGCGUAAUGAUGGCCAGGCUGUCUCCACCCGAGACUCAGUGAAAUUGAACUCGCUGUGAAGAUGCAGUGUACCCGCGGCAAGACGGAAAGACCCCGUGAACCUUUACUAUAGCUUGACACUGAACAUUGAGCCUUGAUGUGUAGGAUAGGUGGGAGGCUUUGAAGUGUGGACGCCAGUCUGCAUGGAGCCGACCUUGAAAUACCACCCUUUAAUGUUUGAUGUUCUAACGUGGACCCGUUACCCGGGUUGCGGACAGUGUCUGGUGGGUAGUUUGACUGGGGCGGUCUCCUCCUAAAGAGUAACGGAGGAGCACGAAGGUUGGCUAAUCCUGGUCGGACAUCAGGAGGUUAGUGCAAUGGCAUAAGCCAGCUUGACUGCGAGCGUGACGGCGCGAGCAGGUGCGAAAGCAGGUCAUAGUGAUCCGGUGGUUCUGAAUGGAAGGGCCAUCGCUCAACGGAUAAAAGGUACUCCGGGGAUAACAGGCUGAUACCGCCCAAGAGUUCAUAUCGACGGCGGUGUUUGGCACCUCGAUGUCGGCUCAUCACAUCCUGGGGCUGAAGUAGGUCCCAAGGGUAUGGCUGUUCGCCAUUUAAAGUGGUACGCGAGCUGGGUUUAGAACGUCGUGAGACAGUUCGGUCCCUAUCUGCCGUGGGCGCUGGAGAACUGAGGGGGGCUGCUCCUAGUACGAGAGGACCGGAGUGGACGCAUCACUGGUGUUCGGGUUGUCAUGCCAAUGGCACUGCCCGGUAGCUAAAUGCGGAAGAGAUAAGUGCUGAAAGCAUCUAAGCACGAAACUUGCCCCGAGAUGAGUUCUCCCUGAGACUU